AACGAACGCUGGCGGCAUGCCUAACACAUGCAAGUCGAACGAGACCUUCGGGUCUAGUGGCGCACGGGUGCGUCACACGUGGGAAUCUGCCCUUUGCUUCGGAAUAACAGUUAGAAAUGACUGCUAAUACCGGAUGAUGUCGAAAGACCAAAGAUUUAUCGGCAAAGGAUGAGCCCGCGUAGGAUUAGGUAGUUGGUGGGGUAAAGGCCUACCAAGCCGACGAUCCUUAGCUGGUCUGAGAGGAUGAUCAGCCACACUGGGACUGAGACACGGCCCAGACUCCUACGGGAGGCAGCAGUGGGGAAUAUUGGACAAUGGGCGAAAGCCUGAUCCAGCAAUGCCGCGUGAGUGAUGAAGGCCUUAGGGUUGUAAAGCUCUUUUACCAGGGAUGAUAAUGACAGUACCUGGAGAAUAAGCGCCGGCUAACUCCGUG
rnacentral:rRNA from 1 species